GCAGUCCACACAAGGACACAUACAGAGGCUAAACAUUAUGAAUGUGAUGUUUGUUUCAAGAGGUUUAGACAUUCAAAUACCUUGGUGAUACACAGGCGGACACACACAGGAGAAACACCUUAUGAAUGUAAUAUCUGUAACAAAAGAUUUUCACAAUCUAGCCAUCUAGGAACACAUAAAAGAUUACACACUGGGGACAAACCUUAUGAGUGUGAUGUCUGCAAACAAAGAUUUUCACGCAAGCAUCAUCUUAAUUCCCAUGAACAGCAACAUUUGUUAUGUGACACUUGCCACAGAGAAAUUAUUCAACCCCAAGAAUUGCAAGAAUAUUUUGUUAAGGAUACAGGCAGUGGAAAGUAUGUUUGUAGUAAAUGUAGCAAAGGGUUGCCUCAUAGUUUCAUGAAAUGGGUACGACAUAUAGCAAGGGAACAUAAAAGUUAUGGAAACUAUAAAUGCGGUUUUUGUCAAGAACUUGAAUCAACAGAACCAACUGGUAUUGGAUAUGCUUGUUGUGCCUGUGAUGCUGUGUUUGACGUUCCCAGAGAACUUGAAGAACACAUGGUCACUCAUGACAUGAUGCAGAUUAAAUAGGUUUCAGCUUUAUAUGACUUUUGUAUUUUAACGACUAAUAUUGAUCUAGAGUAGUAAUACGGGGAAGAUAGGGACAUGGGUCCCAGUCGAUAACUGAACAAAACAUCUCCUUUAGUUGAGGAGACGUUCAAUGCAACUACGCGUUAUGAAAGCGGAGGAAGAUAUGAACGGGUAGGGAUAAAACGCUGAAACUGAAUCGCGGAAACUGAAAGCGGAAACUGAAAUGGGAAUAAAACGCUGAAAUGGGCAAAUUUAAUCGAAUUCGUUGUUUGCUAGACAAUUGCGAACACAUGUAAUUUGCCUAUAAAACUGAAUAAAUCUACUAAAGAAGUUCCUGGUAAAAUGACAACUACAAAUUUUCGA